rfam:Coniochaeta ligniaria NRRL 30616 unplaced genomic scaffold CONLIGscaffold_1, whole genome shotgun sequence.
GGGGGUGUAGCUCAUCUGGUAGAGCGCCUGCUUUGCAUCGAGUGCGAGUCUUCAGACCAGCACGCCCACUUGCCCUGCAGGAGGUACAGGGUUCGACUCCCUGCUCCUCCA